UGCAGUCGAGCGGAUGACGGGAGCUUGCUCCUUGAUUCAGCGGCGGACGGGUGAGUAAUGCCUAGGAAUCUGCCUGGUAGUGGGGGACAACGUUUCGAAAGGAACGCUAAUACCGCAUACGUCCUACGGGAGAAAGCAGGGGACCUUCGGGCCUUGCGCUAUCAGAUGAGCCUAGGUCGGAUUAGCUAGUAGGUGAGGUAAUGGCUCACCUAGGCGACGAUCCGUAACUGGUCUGAGAGGAUGAUCAGUCACACUGGAACUGAGACACGGUCCAGACUCCUACGGGAGGCAGCAGUGGGGAAUAUUGGACAAUGGGCGAAAGCCUGAUCCAGCCAUGCCGCGUGUGUGAAGAAGGUCUUCGGAUUGUAAAGCACUUUAAGUUGGGAGGAAGGGUUGUACGCUAAUACCGUGCAAUUUUGACGUUACCGACAGAAUAAGCACCGGCUAACUCUGUGCCAGCAGCCGCGGUAAUACAGAGGGUGCAAGCGUUAAUCGGAAUUACUGGGCGUAAAGCGCGCGUAGGUGGUUCGUUAAGUUGGAUGUGAAAGCCCCGGGCUCAACCUGGGAACUGCAUCCAAAACUGGCGAGCUAGAGUAUGGUAGAGGGUGGUGGAAUUUCCUGUGUAGCGGUGAAAUGCGUAGAUAUAGGAAGGAACACCAGUGGCGAAGGCGACCACCUGGACUGAUACUGACACUGAGGUGCGAAAGCGUGGGGAGCAAACAGGAUUAGAUACCCUGGUAGUCCACGCCGUAAACGAUGUCAACUAGCCGUUGGAAUCCUUGAGAUUUUAGUGGCGCAGCUAACGCAUUAAGUUGACCGCCUGGGGAGUACGGCCGCAAGGUUAAAACUCAAAUGAAUUGACGGGGGCCCGCACAAGCGGUGGAACAUGUGGUUUAAUUCGAAGCAACCCGAAAAACCUUACCAGGCCUUGACAUGCAAAGAACUUUCCAGAGAUGGAUUGGUGCCUUCGGGAACUCUGACACAGGUGCUGCAUGGCUGUCGUCAGCUCGUGUCCUGAGAUGUUGGGUUAAGUCCCGUAACGAGCGCAACCCUUGUCUUAGUUACCAGCACGUUAUGUGGGCAUCUAAGGAACUGCCGGU
rnacentral:rRNA from 1 species